AACGAACGCUGGCGGCAUGCCUAACACAUGCAAGUCGAACGAGACCUUCGGGUCUAGUGGCGCACGGGUUCGUAACGCGUGGGAACCUGCCCUUAGGUUCGGAAUAACUCCCAGAAAGGGGUGCUAAUACCGGAUAAUGUCUUCGGACCAAAGAUUUAUCGCCUUUGGAUGUGCCCGCGUUGGAUUAGCUAGUUGGUAGGGUAAAAGCCUACCAAGGCGACGAUCCAUAGCUGGUCUGAGAGGAUGAUCAGCCACACUGGGACUGAGACACGGCCCAGACUCCUACGGGAGGCAGCAGUGGGGAAUAUUGGAAAAUGGGCGAAAGCCUGAUCGAGCAAUGACGCGUGAGUGGUGAAGGCCUUAGGGUUGUAAAGCUCUUUUACCCGGGAUGAUAAUGACAGUACCGGGAGAAUAAGCUCCGGCUAACUCCGUG
rnacentral:rRNA from 1 species